rnacentral:rRNA from 1 species
UCCGUAGGUGGAUAAUUAAGUCAGAGGUGAAAUCCUGCAGCUCAACUGUAGAAUCGCCUUUGAUACUGGUUAUCUUGAGUCAUUAUGAAGUGGUUAGAAUGUGUAGUGUAGCGGUGAAAUGCAUAGAUAUUACACAGAAUACCGAUUGCGAAGGCAGAUCACUAAUAAUGUACUGACACUGAUGGACGAAAGCGUGGGGAGCGAACAGGAUUAGAUACCCUGGUAGUC